rnacentral:rRNA from 1 species
UACGUAGGUGGCAAGCGUUUGUCCGGAUUUAUUGGGUUUAAAGGGUGCGUAGGCGCCCUGUAAGUCAGUGCUGAAAUACCCCGGCUUAACCGGGGGGGUGGCAUUGAUACUGCAGGGCUUGAGUACAGAUGAGGUAGGCGGAAUUGACGGUGUAGCGGUGAAAUGCAUAGAUAUCGUCAAGAACACCGAUAGCGAAGGCAGC